rnacentral:lncRNA from 1 species
CUAGAAAAAAAAUUCCUUUUAUUAUGGCUAUAUCUUGCAUAAAAAACAAUUUCUUUUAAUAUUCAGUUAUAGUUAAAUCUUACAAGACCAUCUUCCCUUUCUUUUAUAGAAAAAGGAAGAAAAUGAAUUAAUAAAUGAGAUAAGUAACAAAAAAAAGAAUAAGGAAACAAUCAUGUAUUUUCUAUAUCUAGCCAAAAAUAAAAGAGGUAAUAAGCUAUGCUACUCUGUUUCUUCCAGCACUUAAAACUUCUUGUUCCUCGGCUUAAUGACCAGGUCCUCUAGGGCUAGGUCCAGAAGGUAGUCUUUCAAGCCAAAAUGACAAAUUGCUCUUCGCCUUCUCAUAUAUCGUUGGGAUUGUUGCGAUAUGAAUUUCACCAGAAAAAUCUUGUGACAAUGCUCUAGCUGCCUCAACAUGGUUUUGACUCGUAAUUACAAUAAAGAUGGCAAAUAUUAUCAAAAAAGAGAUAAUUCUUCGAUAAUCCAUAUCCAAAUAAUUCAGAAAUCAACGCACUAUAACGUGAAAACGUGUUUGCCUCAAAUUCAAAUGAUUUCUUUCGUCCUCUUUCAAGAUAUUUCUAAGUCGAUAUCACAAAAUUUUGGUGUUUCUUUUGAUAGAAAUGAGAGGGUUGCGCUCUUUUUCUCUAGUUUUGCUUGUGAAUGUGGAUGAAGAAAGGUUAUGCAUGGGUUUUGGUAUUUAUAGCAAUGUAUGAAUAAGUGUCUUUUGUUUAACUUUGAACAAAUAGUAUUAGUAUUUGUUGAAUUGAAAUCAUGUAGCAGAUGGACGUGUUGACAAAGUAAACAUGAAAAGGUCAUGCAACAAAUAAUUUUUCGAAUUCCUAAAAUGCCCCUAUUUCUCUGUGUGUGAUGCUUCAAACAUGAGGGGAAGAUAGAGAUUUGGAUUUUGAAGGGUGAUGUGGGAACAGCGUAAGAAGUUUAAAUAGUCCACGUUUGA